GUGCUUUCUUUGGCAGCAUAUAUACUAAAAUUGGAAUGAUUCAGAGAAGAUUAGUAUGGCCCCUGUGCAAGGAUGACAUGCAAAUCUGUGAAGCAUUCCAUAUAUUU
rnacentral:snRNA from 1 species